rnacentral:rRNA from 1 species
UACAGAGGGGGCAAGCGUUGUUCGGAAUUACUGGGCGUAAAGGGCGCGUAGGCGGCCUGUUAAGUCGAACGUGAAAUCCCCGGGCUCAACCCGGGAACUGCGUCCGACACUGGCAGGCUUGAAUCCGGGAGAGGGAUGCGGAAUUCCAGGUGUAGCGGUGAAAUGCGUAGAUAUCUGGAGGAACACCGGUGGCGAAGGCGGCUCACUGGCCCGAUACUGACGCUGAGGCACGAAAGCGUGGGGAGCAAGCAGG